UACGUAGGGUGCGAGCGUUAAUCGGAAUUACUGGGCGUAAAGCGUGCGCAGGCGGUUUUGUAAGCCAGAUGUGAAAUCCCCGGGCUCAACCUGGGAAUGGCAUUUGGGACUGCAAGGCUGGAGUACGGCAGAGGAGACUGGAAUUCCUGGUGUAGCAGUGAAAUGCGUAGAUAUCAGGAGGAAUACCGAUGGCGAAGGCAGGUCUCUGGGCUGAUACUGACGCUCAUGCACGCAAGCGUGGGGAGCAAACAGG
rnacentral:rRNA from 1 species